rnacentral:rRNA from 1 species
UGGAGAGUUUGAUCCUGGCUCAGAUUGAACGCUGGCGGCAGGCCUAACACAUGCAAGUCGAACGGUAACAGGGAGCAGCUUGCUCCUCUGCUGACGAGCGGCGGACGGGUGAGUAAUGCCUAGGAAUCUGCCUGAUGGAGGGGGAUAACUACUGGAAACGGUAGCUAAUACCGCAUAACGUCGCAAGACCAAAGAGGGGGACCUUCGGGCCUCAUGCCAUCAGAUGAGCCCAGAUGGGAUUAGCUAGUAGGUGGGGUAACGGCUCACCUAGGCGACGAUCCCUAGCUGGUCUGAGAGGAUGACCAGCCACACUGGAACUGAGACACGGUCCAGACUCCUACGGGAGGCAGCAGUGGGGAAUAUUGCACAAUGGGCGCAAGCCUGAUGCAGCCAUGCCGCGUGUAUGAAGAAGGCCUUCGGGUUGUAAAGUACUUUCAGCGGGGAGGAAGGCGUUGUGGUUAAUAACCUCAGCAAUUGACGUUACCCGCAGAAGAAGCACCGGCUAACUCCGUGCCAGCAGCCGCGGUA